GAUGAACGCUGCGGCAGGCCUAACACAUGCAAGUCGAGCGGAAACGAGUUAUCUGAACCUUCGGGGAACGAUAACGGCGUCGAGCGGCGGACGGGUGAGUAAUGCCUAGGAAAUUGCCCUGAUGUGGGGGAUAACCAUUGGAAACGAUGGCUAAUACCGCAUAAUGCCUACGGGCCAAAGAGGGGGACCUUCGGGCCUCUCGCGUCAGGAUAUGCCUAGGUGGGAUUAGCUAGUUGGUGAGGUAAUGGCUCACCAAGGCGACGAUCCCUAGCUGGUCUGAGAGGAUGAUCAGCCACACUGGAACUGAGACACGGUCCAGACUCCUACGGGAGGCAGCAGUGGGGAAUAUUGCACAAUGGGCGCAAGCCUGAUGCAGCCAUGCCGCGUGUAUGAAGAAGGCUUUCGGGUUGUAAAGUACUUUCAGUCGUGAAGAAGGGGGUAUCGUUAAUAGCGGUAUUCUCUGACGUUAGCGACAGAAGAAGCACCGGCUAACUCCGUGCCAGCAGCCGCGGUAAUACGGAGGGUGCGAGCGUUAAUCGGAAUUACUGGGCGUAAAGCGCAUGCAGGUGGUUCGUUAAGUCAGAUGUGAAAGCCCGGGGCUCAACCUCGGAAUAGCAUUUGAAACUGGCGGACUAGAGUACUGUAGAGGGGGGUAGAAUUUCAGGUGUAGCGGUGAAAUGCGUAGAGAUCUGAAGGAAUACCAGUGGCGAAGGCGGCCCCCUGGACAGAUACUGACACUCAGAUGCGAAAGCGUGGGGAGCAAACAGGAUUAGAUACCCUGGUAGUCCACGCCGUAAACGAUGUCUACUUGGAGGUUGUGGCCUUGAGCCGUGGCUUUCGGAGCUAACGCGUUAAGUAGACCGCCUGGGGAGUACGGUCGCAAGAUUAAAACUCAAAUGAAUUGACGGGGGCCCGCACAAGCGGUGGAGCAUGUGGUUUAAUUCGAUGCAACGCGAAGAACCUUACCUACUCUUGACAUCCAGAGAAGCCAGCGGAGACGCAGGUGUGCCUUCGGGAGCUCUGAGACAGGUGCUGCAUGGCUGUCGUCAGCUCGUGUUGUGAAAUGUUGGGUUAAGUCCCGCAACGAGCGCAACCCUUAUCCUUGUUUGCCAGCGAGUCCCGUCGGUUUCUCCAGGGAGACUGCCGGUGAUAAACCGGAGGAAGGUGGGACGACGUCAAGUCAUCAUGGCCCUUACGAGUAGGGCUACACACGUGCUACAAUGGCGCAUACAGAGGGCGGCGAGACAGCGAUGUUAAGCGAAUCCCAAAAAGUGCGUCGUAGUCCGGAUUGGAGUCUGCAACUCGACUCCAUGAAGUCGGAAUCGCUAGUAAUCGUGGAUCAGAAUGCCACGGUGAAUACGUUCCCGGGCCUUGUACACACCGCCCGUCACACCAUGGGAGUGGGCUGCAAAAGAAGUAGGUAGUUUAACCUUCGGGAGAACGC
rnacentral:rRNA from 1 species